CGUCCGCCUUGCUAUGAGAGGAAUAACAAUGUAAUUAAUACGUUAGAUUAUAAAAGCAAACGAAUUAGAAUACAUACGUGUCCUUGGACAACAAGACUAAUAGUCAUAAGGGUAUAAAGGGUAAUUUCCCUUUUUGAUAUUUUAGGUAAUUUAGAUAAUAUUUGGGUUGCCAGUCUAAUACUACAUUACAUCAUGUUUGGAAUUGGUUUUAUAACCUUAAAAUGUCAAAACAUGGUUAAAAAAUUAGAUGAAGUUUUAUCCUCAUGUAGCCUAAUCAGUCAAUCCAGAGAGCAACUUUAGCUCUCUAUUUCUAUCCUGUCUGGCAUCCAAUUUUAUGUAAAUAAUCAACUGUUUAAUUGAUUUUUUAAAGGUUGUAGAGUUCAUAAGGUUCUGCAUAACAGUAAUAACCCAAUUACAGAUCCAUUACAAUGGUAAAUCCAAUCCAAAUAUGGAAAAAAGAAUAUACUUAGAGCAAGGAAUAUGUAUAAAUAAGAUGUUCAAUUAUUAAAGUAAACAAACUGUAUCGCAUAUUUCAUUCUCUGAUUGAAAGAUCAAAUGGGUAUCUGACUUUCCAUGUCUCAAACAAACAUGUGUUAAUAUUUUGGAUAAAAUGUUGAACUCACAAGCUUUAAAGAUGGAAACAUUUGAACAAUCUGGACAUUAAUCACUCUCUAUUCAGUUUAUAGUGUUUCUGUGUUGUCAAUAUCACUUUCCAUUCUGUUAGUCUUGUCAUAGGCUAUCCAAAAGUCUGGUAAUUUCCAAAAGACAAUGAAAUCAUUCUCAAGAAGCAAACAACAGUUGCAGAGUUUAUACGGUUCUGCAGAGCAGCAAUGACCCAAAUGGAGAGCCAAUGCAAUGGUAACUUGUUGCACAACUGAUGGCUGUGAGUAAAUGUGAUUUUAAAACCCUCACAUUCCUGUGCGCACGCCAACACAACGUCACGCGCCACUGCAUCCCUUUACCUCUUCCAUAACCUAAAAAAACCGCUGGAAUGAGCUUCUGACUUCCCAGCAGUUCUUAGGGAGUUUUUACUGAUUUAAUCAGUAGUGCUCUUGGGAGCCGUGUGUGUCUGGAAUAUCCACGCUGGUAGAUUAUUCACCCGCGCUGGACUUCGUUCAGCCUCGAAGCCUGAUUCAUCCCUGCCAAGAGAACAUGUGAUUCAUGACGGCUGGCAAAAUUAUGGAAAGUCCCUUUGCGAAGACCACGUGGUUCUGCCUUUCCAAAUUUCAGGGUUUUUAUGCUCCGUUUAUGCAUUACCGAAACAGAGUUGGCCUAUAAUUUUGAUUGGCUGCAUGUAGGUCAUAGGUGCAACUCUUCCAAAAUGAAAGCAAACAUUACGAUUAUGUUGCACAGGGAAAUUAGGAAUUAUGUCAACAUUGCAGCAUCACAGUUUUCCCCUCUCUUCGUCUGUCUGAAGGUUCAGCACAAAAGACGAGGUGAUUCAAGAGCCGCAGGCACCGACUGGGACUUGUUUUUGCAGGCACUCAUGAGGAAGUAAGAGAGUUAGGCAUGUACCUCACCCAUCCGUGGAAAAACAAACCAAGCCUAAACUGGCAGCAGGCCAGAGAUCUGUGAACACGCUCUGCUGGACGAGUCGCUGCAAUGCCAAAAACACGCUGACAGCGAGUGCAUGUUGCAGAAACAUGAUCACUGCUGCUUUGUGCAUUUCUGUUUUGACAGCAGAAGUUACAGCAGGCGGUCAGGAAGGGAUGCAUGCUGCUAUAAUGUGUCUAAAACCAAGAUAAAAGGAAACUAUGUAAAUGCAUGGGUCAUGUAAAUCUCCUUUCGCGAACAACGCCAAAGGUGUUGCAACACAUAACAUUACGCCUGUCAAUGCACCACCGUGAAUAUACAACAUGCAUUUCAGUUCCACCUAAAAGCACGAGUCAGCAACAGCAGGGAAUGUGAAUGACACGCAGAACAAUGUUAGCCUUUUCUGCAUUCAGAUGGAAUGCAUUGUUCACUGUUAUGGCUUUAAAGUGCAGGAUAAACACUUUCUGCUCGACGUAAUCCUCUCCAGUGACUAACGUGCGAGAUUAGAGCACAUGUUGCUUACUGGCGUUUUCUCUGGGCUUUCUCUUGUCAUCAUGCCAUCAGGUUUUCUAGGUAAACCUCCCCCUCCUAAGGCUCUUAGUAAAGCUGGUUUAGCAGAAUUGGAACAUCCCUCACCUAAGGCCUUGUCUUGAGAAACUCACCUCUAGUUACUCUGAUUGGCCGGCUGAUUUUAUUUCUGUAGUCUUGUCUAGUCCGCUCCAUAUUUUACGCAAUCUAGUGUACAGGGAUAAUGCGUGUAGACGGGCAGCAGACUUGUGAAGGGAUAAGAUAAGGGUUUAUAGUGACAGAAGUUUACUAGAGCCCACAGAGAACACAGACCCAACUAAUGCACAUGUAAGUGAAAUGAAACCCUAAAAUAAUAAUAAUCAUAGCAUACAGGAAAAAAAUAUGCACUUUUAUAUAUAAGAACUUGUUGUAUUCAUAAUGUCUAAAUCAUUUUGGAUAAAAUAAUCUGCUAAAUAAAUACAGAUGUAAAUAUAUGUUAUACAUACAUGCAUUUAGGUGAUGAAUAUGGUCUUAAAUUCACACUCUAUGAGCUCAAAUUUAAGGGUAUUCUCAUCACAAUUGGAGCAAAGGUUAAAUAAUGUCUGCUCUUUACUAUGCAUCUCCCAUUUUUUUCAAGGGACCAUUAGGAAUUGGAAAACUGACUCAAACGCUGGUCAAUGGACGGAUGUGGCGUAUAUACUAUUCGUUCAUUAUUUCUACAUCAAUUAAGCAGGUAAAAGGUGUAGGGUUGAUUCUGAGUGUGUUGUUUGCUUUUGGAAGCUGUUGCAUCAUGCAGUCAAAGGAUCUCUCCAUACAAGCGAAACCAUUCAGAAACCAAACGAAUCCAUCAGGGAGACAGCAGGAACAUUAGGAGCGGCCAAAUCAACAGUCUGAGCUAAAGAGCACUGGGAACUACUUAAGCAAAAGGAAAGCAGAGCAGAGCAAGAAAACAAUUCGGUGCUCCACAGACUUUAAUAAGCGCCUUCUGAGGUUUCCAGGAAUUGUGGGCAGACGGAUCCAUUGCACAUGUGCUCCGACAGCAGGACCGAGUGCAUGCGGCCCUCUUAAAUACUCACAUGGG